ACUCUCAUAAACCGGCUACAUCAGCCCGAGUCUCGAGUAUUUACGGAGAACUCUACUGUGACGAAAAGUUCUUUGAACUAAUUUCAAGUGAUUCGUGUUGUUAUUCCGUAUUUCUUAAUUAAUUCAAGUCGAUACCUUUGGUUAAUUAAAACAGUUUUUCAGGGAGAUGAAUCGAUAUCAAGGGAGAAGGGAAUUCAUCGCCAGGUGUUACAACCAAUAGCGUGCGACUCUCGCGACCUUCGUGUAACCGCGGGAAUUUCACCUCGGAAUUCACCUGACUAAUACUCAUUUCUCUCCAACAAUUCCCUGUAGUAUGGCUUCACUAAUUACGAGAGUAUUGAUACUAAUUCAUUGGAAUAUUUCUGUGUCCGAGGAGGAGUGAAAUUUAAAAGGUGUUACAGAAGGCGCAAUGUGUUGUUAAUACCCGGAGAAAUUGGAAACAUUGAUGGAUGUCCGUAAUUAAAAAUGAAAUAAUGAGUAUUCGUGACUGGGGAUUGUUACGAGAGUUUUUAUGGAUUCUUCAAUGGCGAUUCGUUUACUAAACAGGAAAAUACCUGAAGCAUGCAGAACGGGGAAACAAUUAUCAAUGAGUUCGCUAAUUUUAUUACUUGAA